rnacentral:lncRNA from 1 species
AAAAACUUCUCUCAUUCUUCUGUUAUCUAAAUUAUGGUGUUAUACGAAAUUACAUGAGAGGGAAAUUCUGUCUAGAAGAUUGGUUUUUAAGCGGGACUGUCUAUAACCCUUCCAAUCUUUUCUGGGAAUUGAACCUAUUGUGGUUUUGUCGGUUUUCUUCUAGCUUUUGUUUUUCUAGUUUCAAUUCUUUUCGAGAAGAGCAAUACCUAUUG